UGUAAAACACCGCACUUGCGCGGAUGCAGCAUAGGAGUCUGCUCGUUGGUUUCAGGUGUCUGGCCAUCGCCUUCCAUUCGCCCCGCGCCCGAUGCUGCAAGAGUCAUCUCCCACACUGACUGGAUACAUGAAGACUUUCCCGUAAACGACAUCUCCCCCGCUAUAACGGGCCGGAAGAUCAUUACUGCGUUGACGUGUUGAUAUACAUAUAUUUAAAAUAUCAAAUAUGAAUCAUGCAUUUGAUAUUUCUAGCAAAUUUGCUCGUGAGCAUCCUUGCAGCCGGACUCCAUUCAUCCAUAGCAUCAAUCGGAGGAGAGAAUGAGGUGGUGGAGAGAGACGCAGAACCAUUAUUGUCGGAGCGAGAGGCAACUGCAGCAGCGGCCACAGACAACACAAGUCACAGUGCGGCUGAGCAUGUGAUCACUUACCCCUCUCGGCUCAUCUAUUACCUGAAGGAGGACUCAGAGAGCACUUACCAUGACCUGGACACCCGGGCUAGAAACCAGGGCACAGAGGGUCAUGACCAGGCAGUCCAUCUUGCCCAAGCCAGUUUCCAGUUAGAUGCCUUUGGCUCCAAAUUUGUACUGGACCUAACGUUAAACAAUAACUUGUUGUCGUCGGAUUAUGUGGAGAUCCACUAUGAGGAGGGUAAACCUGUUCUAUCAAAGGGUGGUGAGCACUGUUACUACCACGGCCAGGUUAGGGGGAAAGAUGAUUCCCACGUGGCCUUGUCUACCUGCAAUGGGCUGCACGGAAUGUUUGACGAUGGACUCUAUCUCUAUAUAAUGGAGCCUUUGCAACAGACUCACUCAAUUACGGUUUCUCCCUCACAGGAUACAGCUGCACGGCCCCACUCACUGCGCAGGAUGCCCAGCCUCCAGUGGAACAGUGACUCAGAGGAACUGGUGAAGGACGAGCGGCUGCUUUCGGAGCUGGACGACAUGUCCUGGCUGAAGCGCAGGAAAAAGCGGGCUAUGCCUAGGAAUGUAUUUGAGGAGAUGAAGUAUUUGGAGAUUAUGAUCGUCAGUGACCAUAAUAUGUAUAAGCGACUCAAGACCAUGCAGCACACCAGGAACUCUGCCAAGUCAGUGGUGAACCUUGUUGAUGCUAUCUUUAAGGAGCACCUGCACACACGGGUGGUUCUGGUUGCCGUGGAGAUCUGGUCGGACAAGGACCCGAUUCCCAUCAGUGUGAAGCCUCUGGACAUGCUGAAAGAUUUCUCUAAGUACCGGGCGCAGAGCAUCAAGCAGCACGCUGACGCUGUGCACCUCUUCUCCAAUGUGACCUUCCACUAUCGCCGAAGCAGUGUAGCGUACUUCGGGGGCAUGUGCUCUGUGAGCCGUGGAGUAGGGGUCAACGAGUAUGGCACCACAUGGACUAUGGCUUCGUCACUCUCUCAGAGCUUGGCACAGAACCUCGGCAUCCAGUGGGAUCCAGCCGCAAAGAGAAAGGAAUGCGGCUGCUCUGACUCCUGGGUGGGCUGCAUCAUGGAGGACACUGGGGUCCAGCAUCCCCGGAAGUUCUCCAAGUGCAGCAUCUCAGACUACAAGGCGUUCCUGCUGAAGGGCGGUGGAUCAUGUCUCUAUAACAGGCCGACCAAGCUGUUUGAAUCUACAGAGUGUGGGAAUGGAUACAUUGAGGUGGGAGAGGAGUGUGACUGCGGAGAUAGAACAGAGUGCUACAAGGACUGCUGUAAGAAGUGUUCCCUAGCUAAUGGUGCACAUUGCGCUGACGGACCUUGCUGCAACAACACUUGUCUGUUCUACCCACGUGGUUACAGUUGUCGCUAUGCGGUGAAUGACUGUGAUAUCUCAGAGACAUGCUCAGGAGACUCUGGCCAGUGCCCUCCCAACCUCCACAAACAAGAUGGCUACCAAUGUCAAGUCGACCAGGGACGCUGCUACAGCGGAGAGUGCAAGACCAGAGGAAACCAGUGCAAAUAUCUCUGGGGCCCAAAGGCGGGAGCGUCUGAGAAGUUCUGCUACGAGAAGCUAAACACAGAAGGAACCGAGAAGGGUAACUGUGGAAAGGAUGGAGAAAAGUGGCUCCAGUGCAGCAAGCAUGAUGUGUUCUGUGGGUUCCUGCUGUGCAGUAACAUCGGACACGACCCCCGCAUCGGCAUGAUGAAGGGAGACAUCACUCGUACCUCCUUCAACCAUCAGGGCAGGCCGGUGAACUGCAGUGGUGGCCAUGUUAUUUUGGACGAUGAGACUGACUUAGGCUAUGUGGAGGACGGAGCGCCCUGUGGGCCGUCCAUGAUGUGCCUUGACCACAAGUGUCUGCCCAUCCAGUCCCUCAACAUGAGCACCUGCCCCAGCGGGCCCAACGGCCAGGUGUGCUCAUCCCACGGGGUGUGUAACAACGAGGCGACGUGCACCUGUGACACCACCUGGGCGGGGACUGACUGCAGCAUGCCCGACCCUCCCAAGGAGCCUGCACCCACAGAAGACGAAGAACCAAAAGGUCCUAGUGCCACCAAUCUUAUAAUAGGCUCCAUCGCCGGUGCCAUCCUGGUGGCUGCCAUAGUGCUGGGGGGGACCGGAUGGGGCUUUAAGGUUCGAGGGUGAGAGUUUAAGCGGAAGUGGUGAGAGAGAAGCCAGGGCCAUAUUGUUGGCCGCAGCCUUUGUGUCAUGGCUGGCCACACCCACCUGGAUGGCCAGGCUCCGCCCUAGAGCAGAGCAGGACUGCCGGACCCGCCCACAACAGCUGCCAUUGCUGCCUGCUUCACAGACCUGGUACACACACGGCGCAUUGUACUGCAUGACCCACCACGCACAUCAAUAGAGCCAUCUCCAACUGGCCUACUAUUGAAACAGAAAUGUGAAGAAGCGAAAGUACGACCCCAACGCCAGCGCCAUAUAAGGUUGGAGGAGAGGUCAGCGGGCACAGAGGAAACCUUCUGGGCUUCCUUAGUACUCUACAGCUGGACUGCACUUACUGCGGAGGAUUUUUGGGGCAUUAGAUUUACUUGAAAAAUACAUAGAGGACAAUUUAACAUUAUCCAUCUUAGUCAUGUAGAGAUGUAGCCUUUUUCAACCCUAACAACCCACCUAACAACCUCACCCACCUACCUAACAACCCACCUAACAACCUCACCCACCUACCUAACAACCCAGCUAACAACCCCACCAACCUAUCUAACAACCCACCUAACAACCCCACCCACCCACCUAACAACCACACCCACCCACCUAACAACCACACCUACCCACCUAACAACCACACCUACCUACCUAGCAACCCCACUCACCUACCUAACAACCCCAACCACUCAUCUAACAACCCCACUCAUCUACCUAACAACCCCACUCAUCUACCUAACAAUCCCACCCA